GCCGAAGUUCUUGAUGCGCUUGAUGAAGU
rnacentral:sRNA from 1 species